rnacentral:rRNA from 1 species
UUGCCGGCGACCGGCGACGGGUGCGUAACGCGUAUGUAACCUACCUUUGACAGGGGGAUAACAUCGAGAAAUUGGUACUAAUACCCCAUAACAUCACCGGAGGCAUCUUCGGUGGUUGAAAACUCAGGUGGUCAGAGAUGGACAUGCGUUGUAUUAGCUAGUUGGUGAGGUAACGGCUCACCAAGGCGACGAUACAUAGGGGGACUGAGAGGUCAACCCCCCACAUUGGUACUGAGACACGGACCAAACUCCUACGGAAGGCAGCAG